GUGUGUGUGUGUGUGUGUGUGUGUGUGUGUGUCGUAGACAGAGACCCUAGGCUCUGAGAGGAUGUCAGGGAAAAACCAUACAUUCCCAGAUGGCUCUAGUAAAAGCAGAAUCUUUUCACCAAGAGCUAGAGACAAACUUUCUGCUGAUCUGAGACUUCAGAAUAAUGCCGUUAAGUAGCUUCCCUCUACUUAGAAUCCACUGUGAUCCCUCCAAAAGGCUGGGCCUUCUGGUUCACAUAGCCCCGUGCUCAAGGAGCCUCUUCUGGAGGGUUUUGGUACUUAGGAGCCUUGGCUGGGGGCUAUCCCUAACACCCCUUUACUCCAUUCUUGGGCAGCCACAGCCGUGAGUAGUGCCUGAUUGGCAAGGCAUAAAUAAGCUCCCAUGCCCAGUAGUCUGUGUGUUAGGUUCGGGUGGGCGCUGGACUCCCAUCAGGGACCUCAGCCUGUAGGGGCCCUAGUCUGUGUGGGUUGUAAAGAUGGUGUGUGGGUGUGCAUGUUAGCUUGUGUGCCUGCCUGAGUGUGUGCCUGUGUAUGUGAGUGUGCGUGCAGUGGAUGGUGGUGAGUGGCUGGAAGUGAGACAAGACUGAGUGGAUCUCUCCCAAAUCCCAGAUGCCCUAGGUGAAGACUCCAAUUAUACUUUGGCCCCAGUACCCCCACCCCACCUCCUCGUUUUGCCCACCAGCCAAUCUGUGGCUAGUGCCACUCCAGGGGUAAGAGUGGUGGCCCGUUCCUACCACCUCCCUGCUCCCACUCCCCCAUUCUUCCUGACCACAUGCCUGAGACAGCCCUUUACUGCACGCAUGAGUGGGGUACUUCUCCCAUGAACUCCAAAGGCCCCUUCCAUUGUUUUCUCUUCCCUACGUAGAGGGGGCCAAGUUAUUCACCCUCAAACUCCUGCCCCCUUGCUCGGGGUUUUAAUCAGCCCUCACAGCCCCUGACCCCCACUCUCCAGUUUCUGGGAUAGCUGGCUGGACAAGAAUGGGCCUCCUUACACCAGCCUCCCCAGCCACUUCCCAGGGUAUCUGUCACCCUGUGGUGCUGGCCUGGGAACCUCAGGACCAGAUGGGGCAUCCCGAUUGCACUGCUGGCACCACAUCUUCAACAGAGUCUCGGCCACCUGCAGCCUUACCCUGAAGGUCCACCAAGAUGUGACAUCAUCCACUGGGCUCCAGGUCUCCAGAGGAGCCCACCGGACACGCGCCUGGGACGGGCUGCGACUGACAGAAUGGACCUGAGCGGUGCAUUUGGCACUCCUGUGGCAGCAGCCAUCCUUCCCCUCCCCCUCCCCUCCAUCCCCCCCUCCCUCCAUCACCUGCAUGCGCUCCAGUCUCACAUGGGACAAGGAGGGUGGAGAGUCGCACUGUGCCGCGGGUGCCCUUGGGCUGGCUGCCCCUUGCUGUCCUUUCUCUAACUACUAGCUGCGCGGGCCUGUCCCACCUGUCGUCCGGCUUCCUGCAUUGCUUCGUUUCAGGAGGAGGGUCGCAUCUCAUCGUAGUCAGAAGUUGGGGGGUGGGAACGGCGUCAUGCAGGAGUUGAUUGCACAGCCAUUCAGCUCCUAUAUGAUGCCUUUCUUCACCCCCUUCAACCGCGUGUGGCCUCCGGACCCUCCUCUGCACCUUGAGCUUCACCGGGAUGGGGUGGAUGUGUAGUCCAGCUUGCUACUUCCGUGCAUGCUUUCUUUCUCCCCGCAGCUCUCCAAGUUCCUAGAGGGGAAUGCCUGGGGCUGGGCCAUCUCUGAGGUCCUUCCUUGGAGGGGGAAGCUGUAUCCCUGGUGGGACAUUCCCUGGGGCUGGGCCAAGGGUCACCCCCUGACUCUGUGGCCAAGGGUAGACAGGUCAGAGGUCGAUCCUGGGCCUACCCUGGGGCUUCUCCCACUGGGAUUCUAGGAGCUGUUCUCUCUUGGAUGCCCUCUGAGGGGACCCAGCUCACAGGACAAAGGGGUGGAUCCCAGAGAGAUGGUGUCUUUGUUUCCAGGACAGGGGGCAGGGCUGGAACAGAGCAGGGCUGAGCCAUACCAGUGCUCCCAGAACAGGGUCUCCUUGAGGGGCCUCUGCCUCUAUCCAGGAUUAUUUUUUUAUGACCAGGAGGCUGAGGUCCCUUACAGGCGGCCUCUCACUCUCUCCUUGAGCCCUUCUGGAGACGUCUCAUCUCACUCCCUGCAGACCGUGGAUCCCCUGGGAGCUGUCAGAGUCACCUUGUUCUUCCUCUGUGGCACCCCUGCCGAGGCUGGGUGCCCAUAGACACUUCAACAGCAUGAUGAACAACUGGCAUAGAAUCCUGUCCUCUGUACCCCAAUAUCUUAGGUCAUUGCAUGCAUAGGUGGUGGUGGGGAGGGCGCCCAUCUCCAUCCCCACAGCACUACGGUUAUUAACUGCAUGUACCAGCUAUGGCAGCCAGCCCAGGCACACAGGAGUAACCUGAGUGGGGGGCCUUGAAGCCCUGAAAGGACUUGGGAGCAGGACAGGGAGGACCCGGGCCCCCACCCUCCCCUUUCCUUCAUCUCUCCCCGUCCCCUGUGCCCUUCCUCACCACCCUCCACCGCCCUUCUCCUACCUUGUGCACCUUACCUCUUUCAUGGUGUCAGGAUUGUCAUGCUGGCCCCCUGAACUCCCACAGGUGGAUGAAGUCCAGAUGAGGUUCGCUGUUCAGGUCUCAGAUCAUGUCCGAUGGGCAUAGAUCAUAACAAGUGGUCCCCCUGUGCCCAGCAGCAGGGCUAAAGGUGGGUAGGGGCAGCUGGGGUGGUGGUGAUAGUUUCUCUGUCACCUUUCCCUUUCUUACUAUGGGGCCCAGUCCAGAUUACCUAGGUGUGGGGGGAAUCUUCUUCCUCUGCUCCAGCCUGGUUAGGAGCUGGUAAAACUCUUGGCUCAGGGUCCUGCGUGGGGACCCCUAAUGUGACCCAUGGCCACCUGUAAAAGGGAGCAGCAGAUCCAGUCUUGCUGGUGAAUAGCUGGAGUCUAUGUUGUCACCAGCCCUGGAAGUGAUAUGCCUGGCUGAAGCCUGCAGGGGCAUCUUAUAAGGGGAGGACGGAGGCAAGGGAGGGGACAAGCAGGGUGGCCAAGGGAGGGCCUUGUGCUCUUCUUUGUUCCUGGAUGCUCUCAGAGCUCCCUGGAUGGGGACUGAAGCUGGGAAGUGGGGGCACUUCCUCAGUGGGUGGAGUUUGCAGUCAGGGGGCUGGUCUCUGAUUUUCACCUUUACUGUGGUGGGAGUGAUGUCAUCAUCACCUAGCAGGAACUUUCACACCAAUUUCUUACUUUGCUUUUCUUUCUCUUCCGCAGGAGAAAAAAAAGGUUUGUGUUGUGCUUUUCAAUCUCUAUAAGUGGCUCCGCCGAUAACCUGAUAACCUACUGAUUUAACACUGGUUCUCUUUUUACAGCCUGGCCUGCCUUCUUCUCCUGUAAAUGGGGACAAAGCCCCUGCUGGAUAGAUUGGCAGGCCACUGGGCCUUUAUUGGCCUUUCAUAGACUGCGUAUGUGUGGGCUUAUGGGUAAACGGGCCCACCUUUGUGAUGAACAUCACUGGCAGCCUCUUGACAGGCUCCUGGGCCACUGCUAGGUUUUCUGUUUAACUUUUCUACUUCUACUCCCACUUGUCAGAGAAGGCCUUGGGUCCCCUGGCCGCAGCAGGGACAUAAGAGGCAUUUGCACGUCCACUGAACCCACAGAGAGCCUCACCAAGCAGGGACAGAAUUGUGUUCUGGAGGUCCAGCUUUAUGUAUGGGGUCCCCAGGAGAAUUUAGCAGGGUACAAGAAUGGUGUGUUUGUUCUCCCCAGGAGGACCCCAGUCCCACCUUGAGGUCAUAGACGCUUCUUAGGAAUUCUAAGCAGCGUGUCACAUUGGGCAGGGCGUACUUUAGGAAGCAAAAGCCCUGAUGACAGCCUUGCCUUGAAACUGACCUCCCCUCCCAGGUUCCCUGCUUAGGGAAUAGAUAGGCAGGUCAGUGGGAAGACAGUCACCCUGUCACUUGGAGGCUGGGGCUUCCAUAAGCAGUUUAUAAGGGAAUGCUGGGAUCGGCACAGCCGAGCCUCUGACUUGGACCAUACUGUGUCGUUUGGGGCUGUCAUAGAUGGACAGACGGACAACAACAGCCUCUGUCUCUGGGGGCUGUUGUGAUGUCAGCUGUGCGUGGGGUCACAUGUUGGGUUCUAAGACCAUAGGUUAUGUGGGUAGAAGGUCCCAAGGUGAUAGGAUAAAGGCCAUGAAGGAGGUUCCCUAGGCCUCUCUCUGACCGCAGCCUUCUGCAGUCCUCCCUGUACCCUGAUUUUCUGAAGAGAUGACACCAGGAAGUCCCUGGAUGAGAUGGAGGGUAGGAUUGCACUCUGUGUUGAUUACACUCAACACUUUAAUUGUGACCCCUUUGAAAUCUUCCAGAAGCCCCCCCCCCCUCCAUAGCUCUGUGUGAUGGACAGGGAAACUGAAGGUAGGAUGUGAUGUCUUGUUUACAGGGGUCUGGGGGGAGGGACAUUGGCAACUUCUUUAAGAGCAGAAGAAACUGCUAAAAUGAGGCUGAGCCCCUGACCUUGAACCUGGGAUCCUGCCCAUGAUCUCAUGGUGCUGCCGUCAGGGGUACAUUCCUUGUUAGAGAGGCUAGACAGUAGCCAGUCGCUCCUUAGGACCCACAAGGGCACAGUGGUACUAGGGGCUGGAGAGGGUGUAGAGGUCGUCUGCUCUCAGGGGUAUUUCUCAGGCCCCCACCUCAGCUGUCCCUGCUACAGGUGGGAUAUCACACUGCAUUGUCACGCUGGGUAUCCGGGGCCAUGACACAUUCUCAGGACAAAGGAGGGUCUCUUGGAGUUAACUCGAGGUCGGAUUUCCAGGCAGGAUGUAUAGGGCAGAGCUAGUAUCCCUUGGAUGUGAGGGCCCUGUGCAUUGCAUCUCCAUACUGUCCUUAAGGUCACACUGGGAGGGGUCCUUGGUUUUGUACCCCAGCCUGUUUGCAGACUUCCGGUGGAGGGGGUGCUUCUGAGUAGGGUUACAGGCUUUGUGAGUAUUGGCUACUUCUCCCAUUUCCCUACUUCCCCAGGAGCUCCUUCCCCUCCUCAGACCAGUGUACCCCCAGGAAAGCCAUUUUUAGAGCGGGGAUCUAGGCCUUCUUCAUUGGGGGCAACUGUGGGAAUGGGUCCAAGGCAGUCCUGCAGACCCUCCUUAGCUGGGAGCGCAGAGCACAGCCUGGCCACUCCUCAUUUCUCAUGUGACUAAAAGGCUGGGACUGGAGAAGAGCUGGGAUUUCUGGGCACCCUCCCUCUGCCAGAUGAGCUCCUUUAUCCCUUUCCCACCUGUAGCUCCUCGGAGUGAGUCUGAGGGGAUGAGAGAGGAGUGGCUUCCUUCUCCUUAGGAGAAGAAGGGAGGUUUUUUUCGCUACACAUCUCCAUGAGCUGUUUCAGGAAAGAGCCAAGCUCUCCUGCCCAGGCUCCUCCCACCCUUGUACAUGUCCGCCCUCAACCCUCUGUGCAUACUCCGUCCUUUCUGCUCCCAUGCUCACUGUCCUUCAAACCUGUCUCCUGCUAUCACACCUUCCCUUGAGAACAAAUGACAAAGCCAGAUAAUCUUUUUUCUCUUUAUUUGUGGGGUAAAAGCAGAAGCGGGAUGGAAAGUAUAGGAAGGUACUCCUUCCCACGACAAAGAGCAGUGGUCUGGGCUCCUUGGCACAGCAGGCUGGGUGUCUGGGGCAUCACCAGUGUCCUUGGGGGCUCCCUCCUUUAUGUGGGGUCUCUGGCCCCUGCACUGUCCAGCUGUCAGUUUUGGGAACGGGAGGCCCAUUUGGUGCUACCACCUUUUCUGGUGGUCCCUGAGUCUCAGGGACCUUCAAGGUGGGCAAGUCUAUCAGGUAAGUCGCACUGGUACGUCGGAUGCCCCACAGAGCAGCUCUGCUCAGGUAAGUUCAGAGUUCAGGGUCAGAUGAAGUGUCAAGGGAGCCAAACCAGAUAGUGUGGGGUGGGCUUGUUUGCUUGAGGGGUGGGCUGGGAGGCACGGCACCACAGUACCUCCGGAGGCUGGGAGGGGGUGGAGGUGGGGCCCAGGGGAGUUGGAGCACCGGUGAGGAGGUAGAAGUCAGUGGAGCACCCGAGGUCAGUGUCCCAGGAUGCACAGGUGGCCUCACGUCACUCGGGUGGUGGUGGGGGGGGCUCCCUGGCAUCUGCUUGCUUGGCUGCGCCUGCUGUGCCUGUUCUGCAUCUGGCCUGGGGUUACAGGGUCAUUGUUGCUCAUCACUGCUUCCUCCUCUCAUUUAUCUCACUUCCCGCUGUGGGUCUGAGGCCCGUUCAGUUAGGACAGGGUGGCACACAGUCUUGGACAGUUAGCACAGGGUUGCACACAGUCUUGGCUGGUUCUGGGACGCUGACAGUUGGCUAGUCCUUUAACACAGAUGAUGUUGCUGGUUGAUGAAUUGAAGUUGUGGCCCUUCACAAGUGGGUUCCCCUUGGGUCAGGAGUGGUAGGAGGUGUCACUGGAUUUGAGCAAAGCUAGCUGAGGCACAAAGGAGAAUGGCAUCAACUUAGUUGUGUUUUCAGUCAAGUUCAUCAUCUGAUGAGUCUGACAGUGCUUCUAGCCUUGCCUGUUCCCUGGCUGGGGAAAGCAGGGCCAUUCUGGAGGCCAUGGUCAGGAAUCGCGUGAGGGCCCGGGCCACCUCAUCUCUGCUGAGCAGAGUAAGCCUUCCAUCGGCACCAAGAAUGUAGAGUAGGCGGUUGUUGAGGAAGUCUAGAACCUCUGGGUCCAUCAGAUUUCGCGGGCGGAAGGUGACAGCUUCUUGGUUUCCAAGCAGGGCUUCUUGGUCACCAAGAAGGGCUUCUUGGUCGCCAAGCAGGUCUUCUUGGUUUCCAAGCAAGGCUUCUUCGUCUUCAAGCAGGGCUUCUUGCACGUCGUUGUCCUGCGCGUCCUGCGAGGUGUCUUGCAGGCCGUCAUGCAGGCCACACUGACGGUAACGUUGCAGGUCGUCUUGCAGGGCUUCUCGCAAGACGACAUCUUCAUCACCAACGACGUGCAGCUCCAAGUAUCGUUGCUGGUGUGGGUCCGGGAAGAUGUCCUCCUCGGGGUUGACUCUGACGCCGAAGAACUCACACAGGGUCAACCAGAACCCUGGGGUGAAUCGCAGGCCCCGUGGGGGCUGGGAAUGCAGGGCAUUCCGAUGCCAGCACCUGGGGCUCAGGUACAGUUCAGCCAGCUCUCGAGCUGGGAGGGUGUUGGCCCGCGCUACCCGGGGCAUCUGGCUGAGCAACUGAGUGAUGGCUGUGGCCAUGCCACUACCUGCAAUGAGGCUUGAGUCCAGGAUGAGCCGGAGUGUGUGUCGGGGCUCAGGCCUGGCCACCUCCAAAGAGGGGGCAGGAAGUGGGGAGAGGGGCUGCCUCACCCUCAUCAUCACCAGGAGGGAUGCCACACCCAGGACACUCUUCCAGUAGAGCAGGCCACGGAAGAAGUGUAGGACAACGGACCGGAUCUGGACCCUGCUGAAGUGGGUCAGGAGGGUGUUGAGGAUCUGUUCUAUUGGGAUGUUAGAGAGUGCCUCCUGUACCAGGGCCUGCCGAUUCAACUCCGCCCAUUCCGGGUCUGACUCAUCGUCACUGUCCUCGGACUCAGUCUCAGCCUCGGGCUCGGACCCAAAAUCAGAGAACGCUUCCCUUUGGCUUGCCCUCAGGGCAAGAAGCAGCAGUGGCCGCAUGUACCUGGCUCUCAAGGCUCUCUGGUUUGGAUUUCUACGGGACAGAGCUCGGGGGUCAUCAUCAUCAGGCAGCUCCAUCACUUCAUAAUGGAAGUGAGCGAAGAAGUAGAGCCAAUGCCCGGGGAGAAGUACGGUGAGCCUGUCAUUAUUCAGAGAGGCUAGAUCCUCUGUGUUGAGAAGGAUCAUGAUGGGCUCCUCGGUGUUCUCCAGGUAGCGACACCACACCAUGAAGGAAGCCCGGACUGGAAGGAUCCUCAUCUCCACUUGAGGGUACUCCACCUCGAUUGGGGAGAGAUGUCGUGAGUAGAAAGAGCAGGUAGCUUUCUUGCCAGUUUCUUCAUCAGUUUGGAGCAGGGAGGCAUAUAGGAAUGACCCAGUGACGCCUGUUUCCAAGUAGAAUGGAUUCUGAGGCUUGGGAUGGUACAGAAAGGGUGCUUUUUGAAAAGCCCUCUUCAGGCAAUCUAAGGCUUCCUGAUGCUCUUCUCCCCAGCAGAAGGGCUCUGAGCUCAGCAGCAGUUUCACCAGGGGCUCUGCAAUGAUGGCAAAGUGCUCCACGAAGUGGCGGUAGGGAUAGAAGAGUUCGAUAACGCUUUGCAGGGAUUUCCUGUUGCUGGGGACAGGACACCCCAUCAUGAUGUUCCUGAUGGUCUUGUUCAGUUUCACCCCUUUGCGGGAUAGGGCGAAACCCAUGAACUCUGCGGAGUGGCGAUGGAACAGGGUUUUGUCCAGGGAGCAGUGGAUAUUGUGACCGCGAAGGCGGAGCAGGACUUGGCGGACAUGAUCAGAGUGUUCCUCCUGGCUCAUUGAGUAGAUCAGGAGCUCUCGGCCAUGGGCAAUCACAUAGAAGCCUAGGAUGUCUUUUAGGAUAAAGUGAAUCUCAUUAUCACAGUCGUCAGCAUAUGAGUCUAUUGUGAAGGGCCGGUAGCAUCUCAUCUGGUAAGGGCUCAUCCCAAAUGUUGCUCUCCAUGUGUCUUCUGUGUGUGUGAGGCUGUAGUCCACCCUGGGUUCCUUAGCAAUGUCUCGCAGCUCCAGUUUUGUGAACCAUGUAGCUCCAUGUAAGUGGUCAAACAGUUCUGGCAUCAUCUGUAUGUAGUCCUGUCUGUCAUUCAGCAUGUCGUAUAGUAUCCAGUAUUGCUCUUGCUGCCUGGCUUUUUCUUGCAUCCUGGCACUCACAGAUUGAUAAGGCCUCUUGGAAGAACUCUCAUAAAAGACGUCGUUGUGAUCACUGUCUCCAGCCUGCU